AGUGAACGCUGGCGGUAGGCCUAACACAUGCAAGUCGAACGGCAGCACAGUAAGAGCUUGCUCUUACGGGUGGCGAGUGGCGGACGGGUGAGGAAUACAUCGGAAUCUACUUUUUCGUGGGGGAUAACGUAGGGAAACUUACGCUAAUACCGCAUACGACCUACGGGUGAAAGCAGGGGAUCUUCGGACCUUGCGCGAUUGAAUGAGCCGAUGUCGGAUUAGCUAGUUGGCGGGGUAAAGGCCCACCAAGGCGACGAUCCGUAGCUGGUCUGAGAGGAUGAUCAGCCACACUGGAACUGAGACACGGUCCAGACUCCUACGGGAGGCAGCAGUGGGGAAUAUUGGACAAUGGGCGAAAGCCUGAUCCAGCCAUACCGCGUGGGUGAAGAAGGUCUUCGGGUUGUAAAGCCCUUUUGAUGGGAAAGAAAAGCAGCAGGUUAAUACCCCGCUGUUCCGACGGUACCCAAAGAAUAAGCCCCGGCUAACUUCGUG
rnacentral:rRNA from 1 species